AUUGAACGCUGGCGGCAGGCCUAACACAUGCAAGUCGAACGGUAACAGGAAGCAUCUUGCUGCUUUGCUGACGAGUGGCGGGCGGGUGAGUAAUGUCUGGGAAACUGCCCGAUGGAGGGGGAUAACUACUGGAAACGGUAGCUAAUACCGCAUAACGUCGCAAGACCAAAGAGGGGGACCUUAGGGCCUCUUGCCAUCGGAUGUGUCCAGAUGGGAUUAGCUAGUAGGUGGGGUAACGGCUCACCUAGGCGACGAUCCCUAGCUGGUCUGAGAGGAUGACCAGCCACACUGGAACUGAGACACGGCCCAGACUCCUACGGGAGGCAGCAGUGGGGAAUAUUGCACAAUGGGCGCAAGCCUGAUGCAGCCAUGCCGCGUGUAUGAAGAAGGUCUUCGGGUUGUAAAGUACUUUCAGCGGGGAGGAAGGGAGUAAAGUUAAUACCUUUGCUCAUUGACGUUACCCGCAGAAGAAGCACCGGCUAACUCCGUG
rnacentral:rRNA from 1 species